rnacentral:lncRNA from 1 species
GUUUGCUUAAGGGUAUGUACUGCAUGUGUACACCAUCUGGAUCCCUUGGAGAUGAGCAGAAGGUGGUGGAUGCCCUGGAACUAGGUUGGGUUUAUGGGCAGCUGUGAGCUGCUUUGUUACAAACCUAGAAACUGAACCUGAGCCAUCUUUGUCCCUGCCCAAGCAAAUUUUAAAAGAGACAGUUACUUAGUCUCUAAAGCACAGGAAAUCUAAAGAGUAUAUUUUGGUGCAUCAUAUUUUCAUUUAUAAAGACGGGACUAUUUUUUUCUUGAUAAUUUAAACAUGGGCUAUAGUUUGUCAGAAGCACUUAGGCAGAAGCACUUAGGCAGAGGCAGGCAGAUUUCUUAAAGCUACAUAGGAAGAGUUUGUCUCAAAAAGAAGAAAGAAGAAGAGAAUUUUGGACUUUUAAAUGAACAUUAAAAAGUGUUUCCCGUCAUAGUUAGCCAUUUGAAUAAGAGUAAAAUUAAAAUCUCAACUAUUGAACAAUAACAAUUUUUAAACCUAAGAUAAAAAUACUUUUGUGUUUUAGAGAUGCACUUAGUGAUCUUGCGUUACAUUUUCUGAAUAAAAUGAAGAUUAUGGUGGUUAAGGACAUUGAAAGAGAAGACAUUGAAUUCAUCUGUAAGACAAUUGGAACCAAACCAGUGGCUCACAUUGACCAGUUCACUCCUGACAUGCUGGGUUCUGCUGAGUUAGCAGAGGAAGUCAGUUUGAAUGGUUCUGGAAAACUGUUCAAGAUUACAGGCUGUAC